AGAAGGAACGUGACUUCCACGAGGCAGCCGCCGGGCUGGCGGGCCCCACGUUCAGGGUUGUGUCUCGGCUGAAAAAAAGGCACGCCCGAACGCUGGGCAGGGAUUACCCGGCCGGACCCGGGAUUGGAAGGGGGCUCGAAGACGCCUUAGCCCCCCGUGAAGAAAAGGCUUCCCUCCCUCCCAGCUCCAAAUACGGUCCCUGUGAUCUGAGAACAUUACGGCGGGCAUAGAGUCGUCUUUUCUUUAAUGGCCGUGUAGUCGCGGCACAGCCGAGGGUUUCUGGAAUUGCCUUAAACGUAUGCGUUUGAAGAGCGUACCCUUUUGUCGGAGCAGUCACCUUGGAGGGACCACGCAGGCUAUGGCAGCCCGGGUUCAGCAUGUUUAGGGCGAGGGUGUGCUCCAUGGGGACCUGCCUUCUGAUCCGUUUUACCAGGCAUAUAUUUAAAAAAAUGUGUCUUCCUUUCCAAGUAUUCACAUCUUUUUCUACUGACCACAAAUCAGAUUUAAUUCAACUCACAUUUAUUGAACAAGCUAGCCUGUUUUGUUUUUUCACUUUAUUCCUGCAACAGCCACGUGAUAGAGGGAUUACUAUCCACGUUUCACAAACGAUAAAAUUGAGGCUGCCACCUGAUGUUACUGAAGUCCUCCACCCACCUUCUUUCGUUCUUUUUUAAGCGUCUACUAUCGGCUGGGGAUGGAAUAGUUCGCGAGUCAGUUUCUGCCUUCUGAUGGAGGCAGAAAUUUAAACAGCCAACACGGUAAAUACUCCAGAGCUGCAAAACCACGAAGUAUUUUGGGAGUGGAAGCAGGGAGAAGGUGGAGGGCUGACUUUCCGCGCACAGGGUACAGGCGAGAAGAGGUGAGAUCUCGGGAAAUGCAGUCAAGUAGUUCAGUAAGACUCGAAUGUGACAUUGGGUUGCAGAGGUGGGCAGUCACUUAGGUAUAUUUAAUUGGAAAUAUAUCCUGAGGGGAAGAGUGAGAAGAGCAAUUUUAGAGUCAUAAGUAGGGAGGGGCAUCUUUUUAAAAAUGGCUGCGGAGUGGAGAAUGGGUUGCAGAGGGGCAAGGAAUGGAAGUAGAGAAAGCAGUUAGGAGGCUAAUGCAGUAUUCCUUACCCCUACCAAUGCCGUCUAGGCCUGUGAGUUCCACCUCCUAAAGGCGUUCUUGAGUCAGUCCUAAACCCUCUAAAUGUCAAUUCAGAGUCUUUUCAUUCCUACUGUCACUACUGUAGGCCAUCAUCACCAAUUGCUUAGAGCAAGGGGUAGGAACCUUUUUCUGUGAGAGCCAAAUAGUUAAUAAUAUAAGCUUGGCCGACCAUAUGGUUCUGACUUACUACUCAGGUUUGGAGCUUGAAAACAGCCUUAAUUUUUACAUGACACGAAUCUUUACAUAUUUUCAACUAUUUAAACAUUUUAAAAACCAUUUGUAUUCUUAGCUCAUGAGCCACAGAAAAACGGAGUGUAGUCGGCUGACCCCUAGCAUAGAGCAGUGCUGUUGGCUACUAACCACACCUCUCUACCUCUUUCUUACUCUAAUAUUACCCACCACAACAGCCAGAAAGUUCUUUUGAGAACAUCUAUCUGAUCAUGACACUGUCUUACUUAAAAUCUUCCAGUGACUACUAUUACCCUUAGGGUAGUCCAGAUUCCAUAAUGUGGUUUACUGGACUCUAUGACUUCUAAGAGAAGUCUUAGAGUCUUCUCUUGUAUUCCCUGUCCAACCUUCCAGGUGCUUGUAACUACUGGCUGCAGGAUACUGCAGGAGCAGAGGUAGCAAACAGCUGAAUUCUAUGAAAAUAGAAAUUGGUUAAAAGUGUUGCUUCAGUGUAUCAGAUGACAAGGGAGAUGGUGAAAUAUUACAAGGGCCCUACAGAAUAGACACUUGCAACUCUCCAGCCAAGUAAACAUGCUUCAGAGGACAUCGUAGAGAAAGGACUGUCAUCUAGUGGAGUCCUUUAGCCACUGUUACGUUUGGAGUAUUACAUAAAAUUCUACAUACAACACUCUUCCUUUCCUCCUUCCUCUUUGCCUGCUUAAUUCUUCAUCCUCUAGGUCUUGGCUCAGAUGCUACUAGGUUAAGAAUCCCUCCCAUCUUAACACACUGUAUUGCUCUAAUUAAAUGUUCCCCACCAGACUGUGACUUCCUUGGGCAUCUUAGUGCCUGACACAUAAUACCUUAAAAGAUUCGUUAAAUGAGCGACAUGGUGUAGAACAUGAAUUGAAAAAGGUACUGGCAGCAGAAGGGUCAUCUGGGCAGCUGUGCCAGUAAUCCAGGUGAAAAAGGCUUUCAGCAGCAAUGUGUAUGGAGAGUGGGUGGAUUCCACAGCUGUUGUUCAUGUGUUCCAGCUCCAGAUGACUUGAAUGUUAAAAUGUUUCCCCAAAAGGCAGUCCUGCCAACACUGAGGACAUUUAAAAGCAUGCCCUAUAGGCUUGAGAGCUUUUCUCCAGUUACAAAGACACUUAGAAAAUAUUGCAGCAGCACCUCUACGAAUAAGUGAACAGCCUCACUAUGUAACUGCUUUGAAGGGAUGGCUUCUCAAGCAAAAAUACAAAUUGUGUAACAUCUGUCUUUUCAAUGUUACUUUAAAAAGUAUCAUUACUUACUCAUCCAGUUACUUCAUUCAGCUCUCUUCGUGCUCAGUGAGCCUGAGGAUAAGCUGUUUAAGAAACUAGUUUGCAGCCAGGCACGGUGGCUCAUGCCUCAGCACUUUGGGAGGCCGAGGCAGGCGGAUCACUUGAAGUCAGGAGUUCGAGACCAGCCCGGCCAACGUGGCAAAACCCCAUCUCUACUAAAAAUACAAAAAUGAUCUGGGCAUGGUGGCAUGUGCCUGUAAUCCCAGCUACUCGGGAGUUUGAGGAGGGAGAAUCGCUUGAACCCGGGAGGCGGAGGUUACAGUGAGCUGAGAUUGUGCCACUGCACUCCAGCCUGGGUGACAGACUGAAACUAUGUCUCAAAAAAUAAUUUUCUUGUAGCCACCUCUCUACAAGCACCAAUAGUUCAUGACUGUUCCAAAGUGGGAGAGCACCACUGCAGAGCUUUACUAGUCUCCCUGCCAUCCUGGGAGCUCACACCAUCCAGCUGUCCGUGGUGAGCACAGUACAGACAACUCCAGUGCCUGCCUUUAAGUGAUGUGAUGGGCAAGGGAUUCAUCCCAAGAAUCUUCUCUGCAAAAUAACUUUUACCUUGUCCCCCCAUCUCUAAUAGACUGUGGCCUAAGAACACAGUUCCCUCUUCCUAGAAAGCCCUCGCCACCUUGUUGAUCUGGCAUAUUAAAGCCUGUCAAUACUUACCUCAAGUGUCACCUCUUCCAAGAAGCCUUUUUCCGUUUUUUUUCCCUCUUCCUCUCAUACCACUAUCAUUCAUGCAACAAAUAUUUAUUUAGCAUCUAUUAGAUUCCAGAAGCUCAGUUCUUCCAGGUGUUGGGGACACAGCAGCUAAAAACAAAACAAAGCAAAAAGAUCGGCGAGGCGUGGUGGCUCACGCCUGUAAUCCCAACACUUUGGGAGGCCGAGGUGGGCAGAUCAUGAGGUCAGGAUAUCGAGACCAUCCUGGCUAACACAGUGAAACCCCGUCUCUACUAAAAAUACAAAAAAUUAGACGGGCACGGUGGCAUGUGCCUGUAGUCCCAGCUACUCGAGAGGCUGAAGCAGGAGAAUCGCUUGAACCUGGGAGGUGGAGGUUGUAGUGAGCCAAGAUCGCGCCAUUGCACUGCAGCCUGGGCGACAGAGUGAGAUUCCGUCUCAAAACGAAAAACAAAAAACCCAAAUAUCCUGCCCUGCCCUCACACGGGCUCACAUUCUAAUACCACCAUGCAUUGAAACUGUCCCUGUCUCCUAUCACAAGCAUGAGCCACAUCUUACCUAGCUCCAGGGCCUAGGACAGAGACUGGCAUAGAAUGUAGGUGCCAGAUGUAACAGAGUGCAGCUGACCAGCCCAUCUCAAGAAUGUCAACUCCGGAUCACAGCUGUUCAUCCUCCCCAUCUCUUUACAAUCCCACCCUAUAUAGUUACUUAAAAAUCUCUCCUCCACUAGAUGACAGUCCUUUCUCUACAAUGUCCUCUGAAGUAUGUUUCCUUGGCUAGAGUUGCAAAUGUCUGUACUGUAGGGCCCUUAUCACCAUCUCUUGUCAUCUGAUACACUGAAACAACACUUUUAACCAAGUUCUAUUGUCAUAGAAUUCAGCUGUUUGCUACCUUUGCUCUUGCAGUAUCUUGCUGCCAGUAGUUAAGAGGCAUCCCCAUCCACAAGACAGAAGAAAGCAAAUAAGAAUGAGAGCAAACAGAAAGUGCCUCAUGAAAGAAACAUCAGGGAACUUUCUUCUUUGCCUCUUCAAAAUAGAUGGGGUCUCACUCUGUCACUCAGGCUGGAGUGUAGUGGCACGAUCAUAACUCACUGCAACACCAAACUCCUAGGCUCAAGCAUCCUCCUGCCUCAGCCUCCUGAGCAGUUAGGACUACAGGUAUGUGCCACCAUACUCAGCUAAUUUUUUUGUUGCUGUUGUUUGUUUGUUGUGUACAGACAAGGUCUUGGUAUGUUGCCCAGGCAGGUCUUGAACUUCUGCACGCUGAAGUGAUUCUCCCACCUCAGGCUUCUGAGUAGCUGUGAUUAUAGGCAGGAGCUACAGCACCCAGCUAAGUGAGAUCUUUAUAUGUUGAACUGUUUCCUUUCAAAACUAACAUUUUCUUUUUUUGAGACAGUCUCACUCUGUCACCCAGGCUGGAGUGCAGUGGCGCGAUCUCGGCUCACUGCAACCUCCACCUCCCAGGUUCAAGCGAUUCUUGUGCCUCAGCCACCAGAUGGGUGGCUGGGAUUACAGGUACGUGCCCCAAGCCCAGCUAAUUUAUUUUUAGUAGGGAUGGGGUUUCACCAUCUUGGCCAGGCUGGUCUUGAACUCCUGGCCUCAAGUGAUCUGUCCACCUUGGCCUCCCCAAGUGCUGGGAUUACAGGUGUGAGCCACGGCACCCGGUCCCAAAACUAACAUUUUCUAAGGUAUUGUUGCUGUUUACUACAAAUUACCUUCAUAUCCACUCUCUUAUUUGACUCUUUCAAGGAUGCUCUGAGGUAAGUAGAUAGGUCAAGUUAGUGACCCUUUCCUCACGGGCUCAAUCCAGAACUAACCAAAUUGAUCCUUCUGGGAACAUCCUUGGAAUAAGUAGAGCUGUAAAGUCCUGGGGCUGUGCCUUCUUUGUCCAUCAGCUUUAACCUAAGAGAGUUAGGUUUGCUACAACUGCCUGCAAGUCAAGAGGCAUUAACUAUACACAGCAAAAGCUUGGCUCUGGUCCAUGCUGGCCUCUGAGGAGUGCCAGUCCUCCUAGCUAAAGCUGAGGUGUGAGGAGACAGGGCUAUUACAACUAUUUAAAAACAACCCACAAACAAACAAAACCAAAAGAAAAAAAAAACAUACGCAUACAAAAAAACUUUAUUUACAGUUGAAAACUUAAAGACAAUCUUGGAUUCUGAAUCUCUGACACUUCCAUGGUCUCUUGAUCAAAUGGGGCAGCAGCAGGCAGGGAAGCAAAGACGGGGGCCAGUCCAGAUUAUCUUACUCAAGAACACCACCAAGAAGAAGGGAAGGCCUACAAUGGCAGAGACAUGGAGGUCAGUGUGGGAUGGGGAGGUAAGCACCUCAGAGGAACUGGAAGGGGACAUCCCAUAUGAGACAAUGCUCCCAGCUAUUCUCUUUUUUUUUUUUGAGACAGAGUCCCAUUCUGUUGCCCAGGCUGGAGUACAGUGGCGCGAUCUCGGCUCACUGCCACCUCCGCCUCCCGGGUUCAAGCAAUUCUCCUGCUUCAACCUCCUGAGUAGCUGGGAAUACAGGCGCCUGCCACCACACCCAGCCAAUUUUUGUAUUUUUAGUAGAGAUGGGGUCUCACCAUAUUGACCAGGCUGGUCUUGAACUCCCGACCUUGUGAUCUCCCUGCCUCAGCCUCCCAAAGUGCUGGGAUUACAGGGAUGAGCCACCGUGCCCGGCCACUCCCAGCUAUUCUCUACACUCCUAAUCCUCUUUUCCCAAAAGGGUAGAACAGGUCAGAUUCUCACCAUAGGUCAGACCUUUAGGUCCCCAGAGCAAAGUUGGGCAGUAAAUUACAAAAGAACCAGGAAGAAAGCAACUAACAUUUAUGGUCAAGCAUACUAUCUCAUUUAUUUGCCCUUCACAACUCCAUGCAUUAUAUAUUAUCUAAUUAUGCAAAGGAGUAGGGUCCCAAGGGGUUUCAUGGCUUGACUGAAGUCACAGAAUUAGACAGUGAUGAGACUUCCUGGUCUACUUGGCUCCAAAGCCUUUGUCCUUUUUGUCAGACUCUGAUGGCUCUCUGUGGAGGUCCAGAACAAAAAGCAAUCCUUCUUCCUUGCAGGUUUCGGUCCCAGAGGUAAAGAGAAAGGGAAGUCCACACUCUGGGUUUAUGGCCUUGAAGUCGAGCAAGCUAUACUAAGAGAACAGAGUAAGUACACCCAGAUACUAUUGUCCCCCUCCUCUUGCCAUUCCUCAAACAUGCCACACCUUGCUCCAGUGGACAAUGGGUACUGGCAUCGUACUGCAGGCACAGACUGAAGUUUAACUGUGGGCCCUCAAGCAAAGUGUAUGAAAAUGUAUAAAUGUACUUUGUAAGCUGCAUGGUGUGCCAGGACCUAAGCUCUGUCAUACCAGGCACUAUGUUAGUCAGCAUGAUCCUUGCUUCAACAAGUUCUCAGUCCAGAGAAAAACAGACUUACAUAUUUGUGAUACAGUAUAUUAAAUGCCACAGUGGAGAGAUGAACCAAGUGCUGUGGGAGCACCCACUGUCUGGGCUUAGACCUGGAAGAGGAGGUGGAGGGAUCAGCAAUGGAUUCACACCUGAUGUUAGCCACAGCUGUGGGCAGGCUCCUGGGAAGUGCUGGGAGGAUUUAGGAUUAGUUAACACUACAUAUAAACAGUAUGUAUUUCUAUUACAAGAUACAUGUUCAAGGUAGAAAAUUCAAGCUUAAAUAAGGCAACUGAAAAGUCUCUUUGCUAUCUCUACUCUGCAGAAGUAUUAUCCACAGUCUGCUAUAUAUCACUGCAGAGAUUCCUGAAAGUCAUUCAAAAUAAACAGUAACAUGCUUACAUAAAUUACUACAUCUUGACUGUCACUUAACUUACCUUAGAAAUCUUGCCAACACAUCCAGAUCUACCUCUUUAUUUUGUUAAGGCUGUAUAGUAUUCCACUGAAGAGAAUGGAACCUCUACGUGUGUAAGACUUGGCUGCAAUGCAAGCAGCUUUGCCUUUGUACUGGACUGGAAUGGACUGGAGCCAGACAUUCUCUCCACUCCUGGCCUUUUCAGCUGGCAGAGCUUCUGAGUUUCAGGACAGGGAACAUACAGUGUCACAUGCCCAGCAGGCACAUAAAUAUUUGCUGCCAAAUCUCCAGUGUUCCCCAGACCCAUAUUUUCAUGUAAAACCUCUUUUCUCUUGCCUGGACUACUACUGCAGUAGACUCCUCACUGGCCUCCAGCCCAUCCUCCACAAUGCUGCUAGAAUCAUCUUCUGAACAUGAAAAUUCAUCUACAGUAUUCUGCUGAAAAUCCUUAAGUGGUUCAUAUUGGCCUGAUUCUUUUUUGGAGGGUCAGUGCCCCUUUUGAGAAUCUCAGGAGCACAGUGGACUCCUUCCCCAAAAGGGAAAAAUUACUUCAUGCCUGAAAGUCAGCCUCUGCCCUCAGAAUAACAUAUGAACUGCUAAACUUGGCACUGGCUUUCACUACUGGCCCUGGCCUCUCUCCAACCUUCUCACCAUUUGCUUUUCAUAUCUUCCUGCUUCAGUCAUAUUGAAUUAUUUGCAGCUUCCUCUACACUUCCUGCUGUUUCCUGCCUUUGUGACUUUGCAUAGGCUGUUCCCUCUGCCUGGAAUGCCCUGCCCAGUUUUAGCCACCUGACAAGUUAUAUUCUUUCUUGUACUAAACUGAAGCAUCAUCUCUUCUGUAGUCUACUCAACCACUCUGGGAAGAUCCGGGCAUUUAUGCUUUCCUCACCUUGUUCUAAAACCUCCAAUACAGGGCUUUAUUGUACUGUAAUUGUCAGUUCUCCCAAGAGACUGAGUUCCUUGAAGGAUGGAACUGACUUUUCAAAUCUGUAGCCUCAUAUGCAGCAUGGGAACUAUCUUAAUUCAUCAGCGCUUAGUUGUGGAAUGAAUAGAGGACCAGCCCAACUGCCACCAACACAUAUUUCCUAAUCUUCCCCUACGGGAAUGUCUCGCAUCUAUAGGUAAUUCUAGAAUGAAACACAGUGUUUCCUAAACCUUAGUCAUUCAAAUAGCAUCUUCACAACUGUUACAAUAUCUAUCAUCCACAGGUACAAUUUAUUUUUUAAGCUAAUCACUAUUUGAACUUCAAUAUUGCCUCACUAUAAGCUGUAAUAACUGUAAAAUGAUGUAUUGUGCUAAUUCCGUAUUUUUUCCUAAGAUCCAAAUAUUAAAAUAAAAGACAGUCAUCCCACCACUAACUAAAGUAGUGUUUCCCACACUUCUCUAUUAAGAAGCAUGUGAGAUACUUGUUACAAACAUAACAUCCUGGUCCCACCCCAAAGCCACUCAAUCAAAUACUCCAGGGAAGGGAUCUAGGAAUUCGUAGGUUUAACGAGUGCCCCAAAAUGAUUAUUACCUGUUGGAGAAUCUAGGCAACAAUGAAUUAAGGAAAGCUCUCUACCAUUUGGUACUGGUACCAGGUUUGAGGAUCACAGGGAAGAGGGUAAGCAUAUCAGACUAGCAGAGCUGCCAGAACUCGGGCUUUCAAAAGAGAGGUGCCACCCUCUCCCAUGUCCAUGUAAGUAGCAAACAACCCAUUCAGACUACAGCAGGAGAAUCCUGAGUGUAGAGGUUCAUUUAUGCUAUACAUAACCAAAUUCAUCAUAAAAAGUUUUCCAAGGGCUGGGCACGGUGGUUCAUGCCUGUAAUUCCAGCACUUUGGGAGGCUGAGGUGGGAAGAUCGCUUGAAGCCAGGAGUUUGAGACCGGCCUGGACAACAUGGUGAAACCCCAUCUCUAAAAAGUUAGCUGGGUGUGGUGCUGCACGCCUAUAAUCCCACCUACUAAGGAGGCUGAGGUGGGAGGAACACUUGAGCCAGGGAGGUCGAGGCUGCAGUGAGCUGUGACUGCGCCACUGCACUCCAGCCUGGGUGACAGAGUAAGACCCUGUCUAAAAAAAAAAACUCUCCCAGAACUCACUGAGAUAAAACCAAGGUUUCUAUAACUAAAGUUGUACAGACCAGGCAUGGUGGCUCACGCCUGUAAUCCCAGUACUUUGGGAAGUCAAGGCGGGCAGAUCACAUGAGAUCAGGAGUUUGAGACGAGCCUGGCUAACUUGGUGAAACCCUGUCUCUACUAAAAAUACAAAAAAAUUAGCCAGACGUGGUGGAGCAUGCCUGUGAUCCCUGCUAUUCGGGAGGCUGAGGCAUGAGAAUCGCUUGAACCUGGGAGGCGGAGGUUGCAGUGAGCUGAGAUCGUGCCACUGCACUCCAGCCUGGGCAACGGAGUGAGAUUCUGUCUUAAAAAAAAAAAAAAUUGUACACAAAACUUCAUUUUCACUAAAACCAAAGUCAGAACCUAGGAAGGCAAAACACAAAGGUUCUGGAAAGAAGUGCUCCAUAGGGAGGUAGAAUUGAUCAAGUGACCCGUCUUCUAUCUCCUUCUUAGCUGUUUCACUGCAUAUGUCCAGUGCCUGGGCACAAGGCCUCAAAUGCAGGAUUAGGUGAUACCUUGAUGUGAAUGCAAUGGAUUCCUGCUGGACUAGUGCCACCAAGAGAGUACUUCCUCUUGGUCUUUUUUUUUUUGGAAUAUGGCAAGUUCUCAAUUAAAAGAUAGACUCUUAUCCCCUAUUGACUUGCCUCACAGUCUGCAUCAGCAUCACCUGAGAGCUGAUUAGAAAUGCAAAAUCUCAGUCCCCAUCCAAACCCACUGAGUCAGAACCACUAUUUUAUAACAAAUCUCCUGGAGAUCCGUAUGAACGUUAAAGUAUAAGAAAUACUGCCCGGCCAGGCAUGGUGGCUUAUGCCUGUAAUCCCAGCACUUUGGGAGUCCGAGGCGGAUGGAUCAUGAGGUCAGGAGUUUGAGACCAGCCUGGCCAAGAUGGUGAAACCCUGUCUCUACUAAAAAAUACAAAAAUUAGCUGGGUGCGGUGGUGGGCACCUGUAAUCCCAGCUACUCGGGAGGCUGAGGCAGGAGAAUUGCUUGAACCUGGGAGGCAGAGUCUGCAGUGAGCCGAGAUCGCGCC
rnacentral:lncRNA from 1 species